AACAAACGCUGGCGGCGUGCCUAAUACAUGCAAGUCGAACGGGGAAAGCUUUCGGGUGAGUACUAGUGGCGCACGGGUGAGGAACGCGUGGAUAAUCUGCCUUAGAGUGGGGGAUAACUAGUCGAAAGAUUAGCUAAUACCGCAUAAGACCACAGGAGCUGCGCCUCAAGGGGUCAAAGGUUUUUCGCUCUAAGAUGAGUCCGCGUAAGAUUAGCUAGUUGGUGAGGUAACGGCUCACCAAGGCGACGAUCUUUAACUGGUCUGAGAGGUUGAUCAGUCACACUGGAGCUGAGACGCGGUCCAGAGUCCUACGGGAGGCAGCAGUAGGGAAUAUUGCACAAUGGAGGAAACUCUGAUGCAGCGACGCCGCGUGAGUGAUGAAGGCCUUCGGGUCGUAAAGCUCUGUCGCAGGGGAAUAACACAAUGAAUGUACCCUGUAAGAAAGGAUCGGCUAACUUCGUGCCAGCCGCCGCGGUAAUAC
rnacentral:rRNA from 1 species